rnacentral:rRNA from 1 species
CAGUCGUACCUUCGGGUAAUCAGCCUUUCGGGUGCGAUUCCGUGGAGUGUGAGGAGCUUAAACACCUUCAUGUUUUGCAUAUUCGUACUCUUGGGUGUACUUGCCCGUAUGGUUGGUUAACAUCAAUUUUGGUGGUCAUAAAAUGACUGGAGGAAUGUAGCUUCGAUCUUGUAUUGAAGUGUUAUAGCCUUCGGUAGAUGUGGUGAUCGAGAUUGAGGAUUGCAACGGGAUUACCUUUCGGGGCUACCUGUCUGAUCUCUGAUCGUUG